rnacentral:sRNA from 1 species
UGCGGUAUUCGUUGUCCUCUCCCUCCUUGAUUCUUUUCCCGCACCCAUUCAGGGCGCAUACGCUCGUCCAUUCUCAGGAGAUCUAACAUGGAUACCGGUACCGUCAAGUGGUUCAACGACAGCAAGGGCUUCGGCUUCAUUACGCCCGACGCCGGCGGCGACGAUCUGUUCGCGCAUUUCUCGGAAAUCCGCGGCGAUGGCUUCAAGACCCUCGCCGAAGGCCAGAAAGUCAGCUACGAGACGAAGAGCGGGCCCAAAGGCCUGCAAGCGUCGAACAUCACGGCCCUGUAGUCCCCAAAGGCCGUCAGCACCACUCAAGAAGCGGCAUGUCACUGCCGCUUCCUGCG